UUCAUUGAUAGCAUAUAGAAGUGCAACUGAUUUUUGUUUAUUGAUUUUAUAUCCUGAAAAUGACAAAGCUUUCUUAUUAAUUCUAGUAGCUAUUUUCUAGACUUCAUAAGAUUUUCUACAUAGAUUAUAAUGUUUUCUGCAAAGAAAGACAAUUUUACUUAUUCUUUCCAACCUGGAGAAUUUUUCUUUCUUUUUUUGUCUCACUGCACUAGCUAGAACCACCAAUACAAUGUUGAAUAAAAAUAAUGAAGGCAGAUGAUUGGGGCAAGAUGGCCAAAUAGGAACAGCUCUGGUCUGCAGCUCCCAGGGAAACCAAUGGAGAAGGCGGGUGAUGUCUGCAUUUCCAACUGAGUGUAAACAAAGCCGCCGGGAAGUUCGGACUGGGCAGAGCCUACUGCAGCAUGGCAAAGCUGCUACAGCCAGACUGCCUCUCUAGAUUCCCCCUCUCUGGGCAGGCUAUCUCUGAAAGAAAGGCAGCAGCCCCAGUCAGGAACUUAUAGAUAAAACUCCCAUCUCCCUGGAACAGAGCACCUGGGGGAAGAGGUGGCUACUGGGGCAGCUACAGCAGACUUAAACAUUCCUGCCUGCCAGCUCUGAAGAGAACAGUGGAUCUCCCAACACAGCACUUGAGCUCUGCUUAGGGACAGAUGCCUCCUCAAGUGGGUCCCUGACUCCUGUGCCUCCUGACUUGAGACAUCUCCCAGCAGGGGUUGACAGACACCUCAUAGAGGAGAGCUCCAGCUGGCAGCUGGUGGGUGCCCCUCUGGGACAAAGCUUCCAGAGGAAGGAGCAGGCAGCAAUCUUUGCUGUUCUGCAGCAUCUGCUGGUGAUACCCAGGCAAACAGGGUCUGGAGUGGACCCCCAGCAAACUCCAGCAGACCUGCAGAAAAGAGGCCUGACUGUUAGAAGGAAACAUAACAAACAGAAAGCAAUAGCAUCAACAUCAACAAAAAGGAACACCACACAGAAACUCCAUCCGAAGGUCACCAACACCAAAGACCAAAGGUAGAUAAAACCAUGAAGAUGAGGAAACACCAAUGCAAAAAGGAAGAAAAUUCCAAAAACCAGAAUGCCUCUUCUCCUCCAAAGGAUCACAACUCCUCACCAGCAAGGCGACAAAACUGGAUGGAGAAUGAGUGUGACAUUUGAAAGAAGUGGGCUUCAGAAGGUGGGUAAUAACAACUCCUUCCAGCUAAAGGAGCAUGUUCUAACCCAAUGCAAGGGAGCUAAGAACCUUGAUAAAAGGUUAGAGGAAUUGCUAACUAGAAUAACCCAUUUAGAGAAGAACAUAAAUUACCUGAUGGAGCUGAAAAACAGAGCACAAGAACUUCAUGAAACAUACACAUGUAUCAAUAGCUGAAUCAAUCAAGUGGAAGAAAGGAUAUCAGAGAUUGAAGAUCAACUUAAUAAAAUAAAGUGAGAAGACAAGAUUAGAGAAAAAAGAAUGAAAGGAAUGAACAAAGCCUCCAAGAAAUAUGGGACUAUGUGAAGAGACCAAACCUACAUUUGAUUGGUGUACCUGAAACUGACAGGGAGAAUGGAACCAAGUUGGAAAACAUGUUUCAGGAUAUUAUCCAAGAGAACUUCCCCAACCUAGCAAGGCAGACCAACAUUCAAAUUCAGGAAAUAGAGAGAACACCACAAAAACACUCCUCGAGAAGAGCAACCCCAAGACACAUAAUUGUCAGAUUCAUCAAGGUUGAAUUGAAGGGAAAAAUGUUAAGGGCAGCCAAAGAAAAAGGAU
rnacentral:lncRNA from 10 species